rnacentral:rRNA from 1 species
AACGAACGCUGGCGGCAUGCCUAACACAUGCAAGUCGAACGAGACCUUCGGGUCUAGUGGCGCACGGGUGCGUAACGCGUGGGAACCUGCCCUUAGGUUCGGAAUAACUCCCCGAAAGGGGUGCUAAUGCCGGAUAAUGUCUUCGGACCAAAGAUUUAUCGCCUUUGGAUGGGCCCGCGUUGGAUUAGCUGGUUGGUAGGGUAAAAGCCGACCAAGGCGACGAUCCAUAGCUGGUCGGAGAGGAUGCUCAGCCACACUGGGACUGCGACACGGCCCACACUCCUACGGGAGGCAGCAGUGGGGAAUAUUGGACAAUGGGCGAAAGCCUGAUCCAGCCAUGCCGCGUGAGUGAUGCAGGCCUUAGGGUUGUAAAGCUCUUUUACCCGGGAUGAUAAUGACAGUACCGGGAGAAUAAGCUCCGGCUAACUCCGUG